AGCAGUGACCUUCGAGUACCCAAGCAAUGCCGUGGAGGAGGUCACUCAGAACAACUUCCGGCUCCUCUUCAAGGGCUCAGAGAUGGUGGUGGCUGGGAAGCUCCAGGACCGGGGGCCUGAUGUGCUCACAGCCACAGUCAGUGGGAAGCUGGUGAGUGUGGCCAAAGCCACCCUGGAGGGGAAUGGCAGCCUCCACCUCUGCAGCCAGAGGGGCUGGACUCAAAUCCCAGACCUGCCCAGCUCCAGCUUUCCCCUCUGCUGCCUGUGGAUGACACAGGGGCAUGGCAGGGAUUCAAUGAGACAAUGGAGUGAUUCUCAUGAGACCAGCACAUACAGGCUCUCGGCAGCCGGUCUGUGCACCUGCAAGCACAGAUGGAGUCUCGCUCUGUCUCCCAGGCUGGAGUGCAGUGGUUGGAUCUCGGCUCAUUGCAAGCUCCACCUCCCAGCCUACACAGAACAUCACUUUCCAAACGGAGUCCAGUGUGGCAGAGCAGGAGG
rnacentral:lncRNA from 1 species